rnacentral:rRNA from 1 species
GACGAACGCUGGCGGCGUGCCUAAUACAUGCAAGUCGAACGCAGUGGGGACGGGUGAGUAACACGUGGGUAACCUCCCAUCAGAGGGGAUAACACUUGGAAACAGGUGCUAAACUGAUACUGAUGGAUGGACCCGCGGUGCAUUAGCUAGUUGGUGAGGUAACGGCUCACCAAGGCCACGAUGCAUAGCCGACCUGGAAGGGUGAUCGGCCAAACUGAGACAGAGACACGGCACAGAGUCCUACGAGAGGCAGCAGUAGGGAAUCUUCGGCAAUGGACGAAAGGCUGACCGAGCAACGCAGCGUGAGUGAAGAAGGUUUUCGGAUCGUAAAACUCUGUUGUUAGAGAAGCGGUAGCUAACCAGAAAGCCACGGCUAACUACGUGCCAGCAGCCGCGGUAAUAC